CUGGCAUAAUUGAUACUGUUUUCAAUGCUCUAAGCACUCGAAACGUUCGUAAUCCAGCUAAAUUUCCUACAUCCAUGCCGAUUGUGGCGUAACCUGAAGUAAUAACAAUGAAGUCAAGCCAAUUCCACGGGUUCCGCAAAAACAAAUUAUAUUUAAAAGAGAAACGGAAAUGCAGAACCAAACUUAAGGGACGGUUACAAUGGUAUCGAAUUAUAAACGUAAAACCACACGACAGUUAUGGACAGAAAGUGAUAUGAAAAAGCUAUAUCUGCUAUAGACAAAAAAGAAAUUGGUUGGCUUAAGGCGUCUAAAAAAUGUAAUGUUCAAGCUACUCUUCGUCGUCAAUGUCAGGACAAAAAUAAAUUAGCUAUUGGUGUUACGAAAACACUAAGUCGACCUAGCACUUUUUGACCUUCUUUGAAAAAAAAAAGUUGAGCACAUACCAGAAAUGGAAUCUAGAUUUUUUGGAUUUACUGUGAAAGAAGUUCAGAAAUUGGCCUAUAAUGUAGCAAAAGAAGCUUGUAUACCUCAUAUAUUUAAUAUUAAAAAAAAAGAAGCGGGUCAAGAUUGGUUGUAUUAUUAAUUUAAAAGAUUUUUUAAUAUAUAGAUUAAAGAAGUUACUUAUGUUUUAUUUUAUAAUUAAGAACCCAAGUUUUAAAUUAAAAUAUUUUAAGU